GAUGAACGCUGGCGGUAUGCUUAACACAUGCAAGUCGAACGGACUCUUCGGAGUUAGUGGCGGACGGGUGAGUAACGCGUGAGAAUCUGGCUUUGGGUUCGGGACAACCACUGGAAACGGUGGCUAAUACCGGAUGUGCCGAGAGGUAAAAGAGAAAUUGCCUGAAGAUGAGCUCGCGUCUGAUUAGCUAGUUGGUGAGGUAAAGGCUCACCAAGGCAGCGAUCAGUAGCUGGUCUGAGAGGAUGACCAGCCACACUGGGACUGAGACACGGCCCAGACUCCUACGGGAGGCUGCAGUGGGGAAUUUUCCGCAAUGGGCGAAAGCCUGACGGAGCAAUACCGCGUGAGGGAAGAAGGCUCUUGGGUUGUAAACCUCUUUUCUUAGGGAAGAACAAAAUGACGGUACCUAAGGAAUCAGCAUCGGCUAACUCCGUG
rnacentral:rRNA from 1 species